rnacentral:lncRNA from 1 species
CUACCAGAAGGUUAUGGAAUAAUUCAACCCUGAGCUGUGAAAUUUAAUAAACCUAGGAAAAGUUAUGAAAAAAAUUAUGGAAAACUAAUAUGCAAAACUAUAUUGUAUAUCAACCUAAAAGUGGCAGGAAGAUGGAGUGGCCAAAAUAAGUAAACCCUAGGUUUCCUAUGUUGAUAAUACUGGUAAAAUUUUUCUUCUGUUAAUAGUUCAAAUAAUUUUCAUAACGGGAUUAUAUGCAAAUUAGAGGAGACAGCGCAUUCAAUGAAAAAUAUAUGAAUGCAUCUCUAAAAAUGUACUAAAAUGGACAUAUAAAUAAAUUAGAUUCUUUGGAGAAAUCUGAUGGAAACCAUUACUUGUUGCUCAAGUGAAGUCCAGAAAUUUAUUACAGAAGUUUUCAAAGAAGUUCCACUUGAAGAACAAGGGAGUCUGUUUUUUGGCUGACAAACAUUGUAGUUUUAUGAAUUACAUACAUUAUCAUCACUCACGGUGUGCAGAAUUACUUAAUUUCACAUUGCCUUGGUGGCAAACAAUCUGUGAUGAUAAUAUCAAAGAACCAGAAAAAAUAAUGAAUGAAUAUGAUAGGCAAAAAUAAAGACUUUAGUCUCUCUCUCAAUAUCUAGAACGCAUCAACCUUCAUCAGUAAUAGAAACAACAUAAUUAGAUCAAAAGCAUACUACACACUUAUGUCCACCCUACCUCUCCAUUGAAAGUACCCAGCUCCUUUAGCCAGAACAUAUACCAGAUCUUUGACUGAUAAGUUUAACAGCAUGUUAACAGUUCCAGAGGGUUGAGAAAGGAUAAAUAAUCCACAAAUACUUCAAAUUAUCCUUGUUAACAGUGACUGGUUUCUGUUGUAACUGGACUGAACAUGAUGAAAAAACAUAAAAUCGAUUUUUUCACAUACUGCUGAUAAGACCUUAACUUUGUACAAGGUGACAUCAUCAUCACACUGUCUCUGAAGGAAAAGGUGGCUGAUUUUAUGGGAAUUUAGGCAUGGGGUUGGUUAUCAUUCUCAUAUACAGAUUUGCUAGAAGAAAAUGAGAAGGAAAUAGUGACUAUGGCAGCUCCAUGUCCUGAAUCCAUCCAUAGGAUUAGCAUUAUUAGCAUGGUGAGUUUAUCUGAGAAAUGUAGGGUCAUUCCAUUCACCAAAUUCUCCAAAACAUUAUUUGGAAUGUUUGUCAAUAAGAGCAGCUGCUUCUAAAAGUGAUUGUACUUUUGAGGCACAUGUGUCCAAGCUAGAAAUCAUAUCUCCUAAAAAUUUAAAGGUAGCAAAACUGCCUAAGUGGAGAAAACCUCUUGGCUACUGUGAAACUCUGAUCAUCAGUGGUAAAUGAUCCACAGUACCAAUAAUA